UACAUGCAAGUAGAACGCUGAAGAGAGGAGCUUGCUCUUCUUGGAUGAGUUGCGAACGGGUGAGUAACGCGUAGGUAACCUGCCUUGUAGCGGGGGAUAACUAUUGGAAACGAUAGCUAAUACCGCAUAACAAUGGGUGACUCAUGUCAUUUAUUUGAAAGGGGCAAAUGCUCCACUACAAGAUGGACCUGGAUUGUAUUAGCUAGUAGGUGAGGUAACGGCUCACCUAGGCGACGAUACAUAGCCGACCUGAGAGGGUGAUCGGCCACACUGGGACUGAGACACGGCCCAGACUCCUACGGGAGGCAGCAGUAGGGAAUCUUCGGCAAUGGGGGCAACCCUGACCGAGCAACGCCGCGUGAGUGAAGAAGGUUUUCGGAUCGUAGAGCUCUGUUGUAAGUCAAGAACGAGUGUGAGAGUGGAAAGUUCACACUGUGACGGUAGCUUACCAGAAAGGGACGGCUAACUACGUGCCAGCAGCCGCGGUAAUACGUAGGUCCCGAGCGUUGUCCGGAUUUAUUGGGCGUAAAGCGAGCGCAGGCGGUUUGAUAAGUCUGAAGUUAAAGGCUGUGGCUCAACCAUAGUUCGCUUUGGAAACUGUCAAACUUGAGUGCAGAAGGGGAGAGUGGAAUUCCAUGUGUAGCGGUGAAAUGCGUAGAUAUAUGGAGGAACACCGGUGGCGAAAGCGGCUCUCUGGUCUGUAACUGACGCUGAGGCUCGAAAGCGUGGGGAGCGAACAGGAUUAGAUACCCUGGUAGUCCACGCCGUAAACGAUGAGUGCUAGGUGUUGGAUCCCUCCGGGAU
rnacentral:rRNA from 1 species